rnacentral:lncRNA from 1 species
CUGCCGUUGUCACCUCCCUCCCCACGCAGCUCCGGCCCGGCCAGGAGCUGCCUUUGGACGGGCAGCCAUGCAGGGUUCCUGACACACAGGAAGCGGGAGAGAAAUGAUGGCUCGUGUUGUCAACGAUCCUGGCAGCAAAAUGGAAGACCAUUUCCACUGGAGACACCCUGUGAAAUGAAGCUGAAGCGGGCAGGAGCCAUGGGGACCCUCAGUCGUAUUAACUAAGACUUGAUAGGACUGGUGGCCCCAAGAGGUGGGGAGGGA